UUUCCUUCGGCAGACCUGUUGCUAUUAUCGUCGACUUGCGUCCUGCUUCCUUGCUAGCGUAACUGCGUUUGAUGCUCCUGUUUACACUGUCUCGGCGCAGCAACGGUUCGUUCAACAAUCGCCUGCUGGUGUAGCAACGGUGAUCACAGUCGUAAAGAUUGUUAGCUGGGUUGCUGUGUCAACGGAACAGGGUCAGUAGCGGCUGUGCCAGCCCGCCAGCGUCGGCGACUCCCCGACGGCAGUAACAGCACGGCGCUCCGCUCGCGUUCCCCCUCUUUCACUUUGUCGGCCGCUGACAUCACUGGAGUGCCGAAGCGAAGCAGGAUGACGGACGGCUGACUGGCGGCCUAACGGUAUUGCCGUUGCCAUUACCCUACCAGCAAUCGACACCGCUCACACUGCUAGAACUGCCAGCAGCAAGCGAAAACCAAUAACAGCUGCCGCCGCCGCUAUUCUACCAGCAGGCGAACUAGCGUCAAUAUGUCGUUGUCGUCUGACUGACAACCCGUUCAGUUGUUGAGCUGCGAACUGACUGCCGCAGUACAGCAGUUCAAUUCGAAGAACAGCAAUGACGACCGGUACAUUUGCGCCCGUCGAAAGUCUAAAACGUUCACUUUUGGAGAAAGAUGUCCGGUCGUCGACGAGAACGACAACAGCAACUACAACGACCGUGGCCCCUGUCAGCGCUUCGAGGGCCCUGUCAACCACUCGACUGAGUACUUCUUCGGACGGAAUUCAGCCUCAGCUUCAUCUUCAACAACAACAACAACUUCAACGAGCUACACUCCAGCUUCUAGAGCAGGUUGUGACUGAUUCUUGUGGGAAAUCAGUGUCCGCAUCUCUGCGGAUGAUAACAACUACGGACACGGUAGCGCCAAAUCAACUCGAAUCAUCAGCGGCAGCAGUGGCGACGGUAACAGCUAAACGCGGGAAUGGCAACCACGAAAAUGUGGCUGAAGCUGCGUACACGUGCGAUGUUUGCCUUGCUGAUUCAAACGUAUUGGAGACCCGCUCCUGCUGCGGAGUCAAAAUAUGUUUGCCCUGCUUCGAAGAGUAUUUGGAAGAACGAAUCAUGGCCGGCUUCACUCGAAUCGAGUGCGUUAAUUGCAACCGAUUAAUAGCCGCUCAUAACGUGCUUCGGGCACUCACGCGUAACGGACGACUUCGUAUACGAGAUGAGUUCGCCCGUCUGCUUCGGGGCGAUAAAAAGUGUCCACGUUGUCAGCUAAUUCUGGUUAAGUUUGACGGAUCGAGCUGUCCGCGGUGCGGCCUGAACUGGUGUUUUCGGUGUGAGGCGACGCACGAAGGCGUUAAUUGUGACCAGUUCAGUGAAGUUCAUCGCAACCAAAUCAAAUCGUGGGCACAGUCAGUGUCGGAAGGUCAGUGGAACGCCCAAAAGUGCCCCCGCUGUAAAGUGUACGUCCAGCGUGCGUCCGGUUGCGACCACAUGCAUUGCGCACAUUGCCAUACGCAUUUUUGCUAUCGCUGCGGCAAACGAUUACGCCAUAUGAAGUUUUUCGGUGAUCAUCAUAGUAAACUCAGUGUGUUCGGCUGUAAAUAUCGGUAUAAACCAAAUCAACCAAUCCAAAGAAAGUUGAUUCGGAGCGCAGUGUUUGUCGCCCGUCUAGUUGCCAUUCCGCUGGCAGGAGUCGGCGCGUUAUGCGGCCUCGCUCUUGUAGCGCUGCUGGCCGUACCUAUGUAUGCCGGCUAUCGGGUCCACCGUAAUGUCUCCGCUCGAACCAACUUCAACCCUAAAACUUCAACGACGACUGCGACAGGUCGCCCGUCGGAAACGAAGGCUGACUCGAAUGAACCGAGUGUGAGUCCCCCAACCUACGACUCCGGAAGUGAAAGCAGCAGCAGGAUUGUUAGCCCUCCCCAAUGAAGCCUGAUAUGCCGGUCUAUGUCGAUUGCAGUAUAGUGAGUAUACGCCAAAAUGCAAGAAGCAACCGGUCAAUCUGUGAUAAAGUUAUCUUAUUUUGCACUCACAUGCCUAUUGCACUACUAAAUAAUAGUAAGACUAAUCAUGAUAAUAACAUUAAUAAUGAUGAUAGUAAUAGACCGUGCGUGUGCCUGACUUAGCAGUUGUAGGAUAUUGUUCUACGCUACUUUUACUACAUAUAGGUUAUUAUCCAAGGGAUACGUAUAGAGGUACAAUGCCUACAAAGCGCCGGGAUAGAACGAAGGUCGUUGCCAAAACUACGUUCCCGGGUAGUCGACAAUGACUCAAUCUCUGAGCUGUUUAGUACAAACUCUAAUACGCAGAACAAUGUCUUUUGCGUUGGUCCUCCUUUGCAAAUCUCUGAUCUCUGCUGGUGCAGUACAAGUACCGAUCAGGGAAGAUCCAAGCUGCCUAUAGCAAUAGUGAAACAGAGCGCGAUCAUUUACAUGUGAAUGGAUUGAUUUCGUACGGUCCAGUACGUACUACGGUGUCGACCACAACAACAAACGCAAUCGAUCCUAAUUCAAAAGCAAAUAAGUAGGGUGCGGACGUACGCAUCGAUAUGGCCAGUGAUGUGAGAGUGAAUUAUUUAUUAAUCGAGAACGAAAAAAAAAAAUAAAAAUCAGUAUUCAGACAGAAAUCGUGUUUUCGUCCAAUUUAUCGUAAUGGGCAGAGAUGAAAACUAUCGGUUUGAAAUGAUGUGGAUGACCAUAUUCCUUUUCGUCGGCGCCAGCUUUUCAAGAAAAUUAGGACAGGUCUGUCUAGGGAAACGAGAAAGACUUAGAUUAUCUCUCUCUCGGUCUACGCAAAAGGAGGUGGCCCUCCAGAUACAGAUCGGAAGAUUUCCCGCUAAAGUCUUUUUACGCUAUGCAACAUAACUAAUUCUAAAGGACAAUGGUACUACGUAUUAUGUGCUUAGUUUCAUCGUGGAUCCUUCUCAUAUCGAACAUUUCUGCUCCAUAUUAGUAUCAUUGUUGUUCUAUAGUUGACUAUAUCUGUCGAAGUACACAGUUAUCUCAAAAUACAAUGGAUAACUAACAAAUGGCCUACACAAUAACGUAUUAACCAUAUGGGAUCAAAGUUCUAUAUGGACAGUGGCUUUUCUCCAAUCAUCAGCUGCUUUUGUCCAAAAGUGCCAGUCAAAAGCAGAGUUCAGUAGAAAUGAUGAACUUCAGCUUCGUUUGCAUGGUCUGC